rnacentral:rRNA from 1 species
AGAGUUUGAUCCUGGCUCAGGAUGAACGCUAGCUACAGGCUUAACACAUGCAAGUCGAGGGGAAACGAUAGGGAAAGCUUGCUUUUCCUAGGCGUCGACCGGCGCACGGGUGAGUAACGCGUAUCCAACCUGCCCAUGUCUGGGGAAUAACCCGUCGAAAGGCGGACUAACUCCCCAUGGUCUCCGAUGAGGACAUCUGAAUUGGAGUAAAGCUUUGCGGACAUGGAUGGGGAUGCGUCUGAUUAGGUAGUAGGCGGGGUAACGGCCCACCUAGCCUACGAUCAGUAGGGGUUCUGAGAGGAAGGUCCCCCACAUUGGAACUGAGACACGGUCCAAACUCCUACGGGAGGCAGCAGUGAGGAAUAUUGGUCAAUGGACGAGAGUCUGAGCCAGCCAAGUAGCGUGCAGGAUGACGGCCCUAUGGGUUGUAAACUGCUUUUGCGCGGGGAUAACACCCUCCACGUGCUGGGGGUCUGCAGGUACCGCGCGAAUAAGGACCGGCUAAUUCCGUGCCAGCAGCCGCGGUAAUACGGAAGGUCCGGGCGUUAUCCGGAUUUAUUGGGUUUAAAGGGAGCGUAGGCCGGAGGUAAGCGUGUUGUGAAAUGUAGGCGCCCAACGUCUGCACUGCAGCGCGAACUGCCCCACUUGAGUGCGCGCAACGCCGGCGGAACUCGUCGUGUAGCGGUGAAAUGCUUAGAUAUGACGAAGAACCCCGAUUGCGAAGGCAGCUGGCGGGAGCGUAACUGACGCUGAAGCUCGAAAGCGCGGGUAUCGAACAGGAUUAGAUACCCUGGUAGUCCGCGCGGUAAACGAUGGAUGCCCGCUGUGGCGCGCCUGGCGUGCCGCGGCUAAGCGAAAGCAUUAAGCAUCCCACCUGGGGAGUACGCCGGCAACGGUGAAACUCAAAGGAAUUGACGGGGGCCCGCACAAGCGGAGGAACAUGUGGUUUAAUUCGAUGAUACGCGAGGAACCUUACCCGGGCUUGAACUGCAGGAGAACGAUUCAGAGAUGAUGAGGUCCUUCGGGACUC